rfam:Oryza glaberrima chromosome 8 Oglab08_0161_27, whole genome shotgun sequence.
UUUAAGUGCAACCAUGAGUUUUCGCGUCCAACUUUGAUCGUCGGUUUUAUUUGAAAACUUUUUAUAAUUAAAACUUUUUAUAAUUAAUAUUUUUAUUGUUAUGAGAUCAUAAAACAUGAAUGGUACUUUACUCAUGACUUAUGUUUUUAAAUUGUUUUUAAAAAAUUAAAUAAGAUAGACGAUCAAAGUUGGAUAUGGAAAACCAUGGUUGUAUUUAAA